rnacentral:lncRNA from 1 species
UCUCCCUGUCUUGACCGUACGUAAACUGGCUUCUCCGGUAGCGGUAGCAGUAGCAGCAGCGAUUCACCGGCGGCGGGCGCCCAAUUUCUCAGGAAUUUCGACGUCUUUGCGGGGGGUGCCUCGUAAGUCGUCGUGCAACACCUUCAUUUGCGUGCAGACGAAGCGAGCCACGAGCCAAUGAGCCAAGCCAUACUAGUACGAUUGAGUUCACACACAGCACUACUUUGAUACGGCAUCGCGUAGAUGUAUACGUGCUAUAUAUGUGUGCCUAUCUCCUUUUGCACUGCCUAUCUUAGCAUGGCCGGCAACGUUUCUACAUUAAAAUUGUGCAGACACCGGGAUGGACUUUUCCUUGUCUGUUAUUUUACGGUAAAUUUGCGAUGGAUGGUGUACACGUUUGUUGGUGCUGGGAAUGCUGGGAGUAGAUAAACAAAGGUUGUGUUUGGAUCUAGCCACUAUAGCCAUGGUCGAAAAGCAACGAGGGGCAUGAAUGAAUGAGUGGGUAGCUCGUUU